rnacentral:tRNA from 1 species
GCGCCGCUAGCUCAGUUGGUUAGAGCAGCUGACUCUUAAUCAGCGGGUCCGGGGUUCGAAUCCCUGGCGGCGUA